rnacentral:rRNA from 1 species
UACGUAGGGGGCGAGCGUUGUCCGGAAUUACUGGGCGUAAAGGGAGCGUAGGCGGAUUGUUAAGUGAGAUGUGAAAUACCCGGGCUUAACCUGGGGGCUGCAUCUCAUACUGGCAACCUUGAGUGUGGGAGAGGAAAGUGGAAUUCCUAGUGUAGCGGUGAAAUGCGUAGAUAUUAGGAGGAACACCAGUGGCGAAGGCGACUUUCUGGACCAUAACUGACGCUGAGGCUCGAAAGCGUGGGGAGCAAACAGGAUUAGAUACC